CCGGCAUCCUUUUAUGAUACUUACUAGCAUGUGAUACUCUGCUGUUCUUUUUUUUCUUUUUCUUUAUGCUAUUUCGUUUAAGCUUAAUAAUAAACUAACAUCUGCUGAAUUUUUACAUCCAAUUUACACUUAAAAUUAGUUCAAUAAUACAAUAUAUGUCAAAUUCAGUGAUUAUUGUCUUGCUAAAUUAUAGUAGCUAGUAUUAAAGGAUUAGUAGAACUAUAGUUUGCAUCUAUUGGAUAUUGAUAAAUCAAGAUUCUCUCUUUUAACUCUCUUUCUCACACUGUUCUCUUCCUCUUUUCCCUCUCUUCUCAUACUUCCAUGGCAACUAGACAGCCAUGUUAGGGCUAAUAAUCUCAGGUUCUUAAUAAUUUGGUAUUAGAGCUGUUAAUUAGGAAUUAUUCUUCUUCUUCACUACUCCAUUUUCUUUUUUUUUUUUGAAUUAAACUUUCUUAACCGGAUUCUCUGUUCAUCCAAAUGAGACCAUCACCUCCAUUGCUAAGCUUGCACGUUACAGCAAUAGUUUAAUGGUGGAGGGUUCGAGAAAUUUUGAAUAAAUUAGGGCUUUUGAUAGAAACCUGAAUGAACAGGUUAGAGUUCUUGAUCUCAAGCUACAUGUUUCUAUUAGAAGCAAGCUGGAAGAAGCUUUCUGAAUCUCGUGCAGAAAAUUAAUGAAUGUUUGGGCAGACCUUGGAAUUACUCAAGCACAGAUGGGAAGAACUUGUGAUUAAGGUAAAAGAAUUCCCAAUUCACAUUUAUCCUCUAAUGGUGAGAUGAUUAUGGUGCAAAAAUACUUAAUAGAGAGAAGGAUGGUAGAUGUGAUAAAGGAUGAAUGUCAUGGUAGUUAUGAUGAUGUUUCCAAAUAAGGAAGUGAAAAUUAAGAAAUAUCACGUAAUGGAUUUCUCUGUCAAAAGAAUGAUUAUGCUGUGAAGGUGUUUGUGAAAAUGACAGUGGACUGGAGAAACAUUCAGAGCUUUGGUUGUGAGAAUUCUGAAUGUAAUGUGUUCAAUUCAGAUGAGAAUCUUCUUGAAUGAAGAAAAAGGAACAGGAAAUAUUCAAUGCUAAUCUUGUUCUUGAAAAUUAUGGUAUUCAUCUUUGAGUGAGCAGCAAGUUCAGGUCUUUGCCCUUAAAGCAAUGAAAUCUGAAAUGUCAAUGAGGCGGAGGAAGAAAAUGGGAUUCUUAUUAAUGGAGGCGUUUAGAGAGAACAAUCAAUGAGCUGCAACUAUAAUGGAGUUAAACCUAGAGUGAUUGCAAUUAUCAGUGAUGAUAAUUCGAGCCGCAACCUUACAAGCUUAGCAGAAUUGUUAUCAGCUCCCACUGGAUUCAAUCCGUCAUCCUAUAUUCCUUGCAUCUCUAUUAGAGAAGCAUGUUGCAGGCAUUACUAUUCAGCCUCACUUCCACUGUUUGAGAUACAAGGCCAAAAUAAAGGUGGGCCUCUUGAAGUCCUACAGCAGAGUCAUUCGAAGAAAGGGACAAUCCAAUGAACUACUUUUACAUGGGCCAAUUUCAACACAUAAAGCCGCAUUUCUGGAAAUUUUUUUUCCAGCAAGCAUCAUUUUUCUGAUCUUAUUUGAGGAUAAUUUUCAUCUUCUAGGGAGGGCAAUGUUAGGAAGAAGGUUGAUGUCUGAGCAACUGGUAGGCUGUAUCGUAAAGAAUAUUAGCUCAAUAGUAUUAGUCAAAUUCAGUUGGAGAGGCAGUUAUUAUUGUCUUAUUUAGAGUAGCUAGUAUAAAGAAUUGGUGGAAGUUUCAUUUAUAUUUAUCAAAUAUCAAUAAAAUCAAGAUUCUCUCU